UUCAAUGAUGGAGUGUGUUCUUUACCC
rnacentral:piRNA from 1 species